GUAGUCCAUGCCGUAAACGUUGGGCGCUAGGUGUGGGGCUCAUUCCACGAGUUCCGUGCCGCAGCAAACGCAUUAAGCGCCCCGCCUGGGGAGUACGGCCGCAAGGCUAAAACUCAAAGGAAUUGACGGGGGCCCGCACAAGCGGCGGAGCAUGCGGAUUAAUUCGAUGCAACGCGAAGAACCUUACCAAGGCUUGACAUACAGAGUAAACCGGCAGAAACGUCGGGUCCGCAAGGGAUUCUGUACAGGUGGUGCAUGGUUGUCGUCAGCUCGUGUCGUGAGAUGUUGGGUUAAGUCCCGCAACGAGCGCAACCCUCGUUCUAUGUUGCCAGCACGUAAUGGUGGGGACUCAUAGGAGACUGCCGGGGUCAACUCGGA
rnacentral:rRNA from 1 species